rnacentral:tRNA from 1 species
GAGUUUUAUUCAAUUAAGCCGCUAACUUAAUUCUUAGUGUAUAGCCAUUAAAAACUCU